rnacentral:rRNA from 1 species
CCUACGUGAGGCAGCAGUAGGGAAUAUUGGUCAAUGGGCUUACGCCUGAACCAGCCAAGUCGCGUGAGGGAAGACUGCCCUAUGGGUUGUAAACCUCUUUUGUCAGGGAGCAACGCCGGCUACGUGUAGCCGGACUGAGAGUACCUGAAGAAAAAGCAUCGGCUAACUCCGUGCCAGCAGCCGCGGUAAUACGGAGGAUGCGAGCGUUAUCCGGAUUUAUUGGGUUUAAAGGGUGUGUAGGCGGAAUGCCAAGUCAGCGGUAAAAUCGCGGGGCUCAACCUCGCUCCGCCGUUGAAACUGGCGUUCUUGAGUGGGCGAGAAGUAUGCGGAAUGCGUGGUGUAGCGGUGAAAUGCAUAGAUAUCACGCAGAACUCCGAUUGCGAAGGCAGCAUACCGGCGCCCAACUGACGCUGAAGCACGAAAGCGUGGGUAUCGAACAGGAUUAGAUACCCGAGUAGUC